rnacentral:lncRNA from 1 species
CACAGCCUACUGCUCCCCUCCUCACAUCCAGGGGGAUGCCCGCUGCGCACCCAGGGGUGCACUCCAGGGCUCGGGAGACUGAGGCAGGAGGAUCCCACCCCAGCCUGGGUUACCUAUUGAGACCCCAUCACCAAACCAAGCCACCCCACCCAGGAAUGAGUAUUUCCACGCAGCUCACAGUGCCUGCGGCUCCCAGGCGCCUCGGGGGCUCCACCUCCCAGUGGUCACUGAGUUCCGUGUCACUUGCAGGGGGGGUCUUGGAAGCCACCCCUCCUGUGUGCCGAACAGCAGUGCCAACUUCCUCUUCCGAUGCAGGCUGAGGCUAGAACCCAGGGCCUUCGCACUGAGCUCCACCCCCGGCCCUUCUGAUAUUUUAUCUCCAGACUGGAUCUCAAUUGCCCAGCCCCCAGAACGCUGGAAUUACAGGCGUGUGCUACUGUGCCUGGCCUCAAAGGUGUUUCACUGGGCAAAGCCUCGAGGAGAGGCAGGUUCAAGGUGGGACAAAACUACAGUCAACUGGUAAGGUUACCAGUGUCGUCGCUCAGCUUGUGCAAGUGUGAGCAGACAGCCUGCCUCCCCGGACAGCAACC